AACGAACGCUGGCGGCAGGCUUAACACAUGCAAGUCGAGCGCCCCGCAAGGGGAGCGGCAGACGGGUGAGUAACGCGUGGGAAUCUACCCAUCUCUACGGAACAACUCCGGGAAACUGGAGCUAAUACCGUAUACGUCCUUCGGGAGAAAGAUUUAUCGGAGAUGGAUGAGCCCGCGUUGGAUUAGCUAGUUGGUGGGGUAAUGGCCUACCAAGGCGACGAUCCAUAGCUGGUCUGAGAGGAUGAUCAGCCACACUGGGACUGAGACACGGCCCAGACUCCUACGGGAGGCAGCAGUGGGGAAUAUUGGACAAUGGGCGCAAGCCUGAUCCAGCCAUGCCGCGUGAGUGAUGAAGGCCCUAGGGUUGUAAAGCUCUUUCACCGGUGAAGAUAAUGACGGUAACCGGAGAAGAAGCCCCGGCUAACUUCGUGCCAGCCGCCGCCGUAACAC
rnacentral:rRNA from 1 species